GUUUUUGACGGGGCUCCCACACAAACACAAAGCAGGAGAUGAAGCAUCGCCAAAUAUGUUUCCAAACCAACUUCCUUCCAAGCCAAAGACUAGAAAAUAUGGUGAAGCAUAUCUUCCCUUUGGCUUCACCUGCACAAGUGCCAAGCUGAGGAAACGCAAACCAAACAACAAUGGCAGUCCAGGGACCGCGAGCAGAGGAGAGGAAUUUCGAGGGCUAAUCUCCACCUGGGACGAAGGUUACUGGAGAAAACGGGGUGUUUAUUCUCUACUCGGGCACGGACGAAAAGAAGAGGAGAAAACCACCCACUCACCUUUCAUUGUACCUGGAUCAGCUGUUCACUGUUUUCACCACUUUGUAAAUAAAC
ensembl:lncRNA